rnacentral:rRNA from 1 species
CGAGGUUAAAGCGGAUGUACAUACGUAGCCGAAAAGGGGGCCUCAUCUCCUCGAGCCUCCAGCGGUCGUCGCGUUCGGACCUUCGCUUUUCGGACCCACACUUCGGUGUGGAUAACCGGCGAGGGCCGUCGCGACGGCGGACUGGGAGGAUAGGGGGGUGGAUUUCCCUCCUCAGUAGGCAGUCGCGGCCGCUCGAGAGUUGUCCAAGACCCGGGAGUCGGGAACCGUCCGGCGAAAUAAUACUUCGCCGGCGGGGACGCUCCCUCGAUUCUGGCGGACUUUCGGACGGUUGAUAAAAAAUGACGACGUAGAGGAGAGCAAAUCCCUCGUCGUACGCGGCUGUAAUGCGAUCGUUCAUCCGUCCCGUCUUGAAACACGGACCAAGGAGUCUAACAUGUACGCGAGUCAAAGGGUUGGCUAAACCCCAAGGCGCAACGAAAGUAAAAAAGGGAUGUCCUAUUCCAGGGACGCUCGUUGGGUCGAUCCGGGCUCCUAUUAGUAUUAGUAGGACCGGCGCAGACCCGGGGCUCGCCGCUACCUCUUCGAGACACACACACGUCUCGAGGCGGGCGGCGGGCACCUAGAGCGUACAUGCUAGUACCCGAAAGAUGGUGAUCUAUGCUUGGCCAGGAUGAAGCCAGAGGAAACUCUGGUGGAGGU